CCUACGGGAGGCAGCAGUGGGGAAUAUUGGGCAAUGGGCGCAAGCCUGACCCAGCAACGCCGCGUGAAGGAAGAAGGCUUUCGGGUUGUAAACUUCUUUUGUCAGGGACGAAGCAAGUGACGGUACCUGACGAAUAAGCCACGGCUAACUACGUGCCAGCAUCCGCGGUAAUACGUAGGUGGCAAGCGUUAUCCGGAUUUACUGGGUGUAAAGGGCGUGUAGGCGGGACUGCAAGUCAGAUGUGAAAACCACGGGCUCAACCUGUGGCCUGCAUUUGAAACUGUAGUUCUUGAGUACUGGAUAGGCAGACGGAAUUCCUAGUGUAGCGGUGAAAUGCGUAGAUAUUAGGAGGAACACCAGUGGCGAAGGCAGCAUACCGGCUCCAUACUGACGCUGAGGCACGAAAGCGUGGGGAUCGAACAGGAUUAGAUACCCGAGUAGUC
rnacentral:rRNA from 1 species